rnacentral:rRNA from 1 species
AGCGAACGCUGGCGGCAGGCCUAACACAUGCAAGUCGAACGAUCCUUCGGGAUAGUGGCGGACGGGUGAGUAACACGUGGGAACGUGCCCUUUGGUUCGGAACAACUCAGGGAAACUUGAGCUAAUACCGGAUGUGCCCUUCGGGGGAAAGAUUUAUCGCCAUUGGAGCGGCCCGCGUCUGAUUAGCUAGUUGGUGAGGUAACGGCUCACCAAGGCGACGAUCAGUAGCUGGUCUGAGAGGAUGAUCAGCCACACUGGGACUGAGACACGGCCCAGACUCCUACGGGAGGCAGCAGUGGGGAAUCUUGCGCAAUGGGCGAAAGCCUGACGCAGCCAUGCCGCGUGAAUGAUGAAGGUCUUAGGAUUGUAAAAUUCUUUCACCGGGGACGAUAAUGACGGUACCCGGAGAAGAAGCCCCGGCUAACUUCGUGCCAGCCGCCGCGGUAAAAC